rnacentral:rRNA from 1 species
CGCCCUUAGAGUUUGAUCAUGGCUCAGGACGAACGCUGGCGGCGUGCCUAAUACAUGCAAGUUGAGCGUUGGUACUUGUACCAAGAGCAGCGAACGGGUGAGUAACGCGUGGGGAAUCUGCCUUUGAGCGGGGGACAACAUUUGGAAACGAAUGCUAAUACCGCAUAAAAACUUAACACAAGUUUAAGUUGAAAGAUGAUUGCAUCACUCAAAGAUGAUCCCGCGUUGUAUUAGCUAGUUGGUGAGGUAAGGGCUCACCAAGGCGAUGAUACAUAGCCGACCUGAGAGGGUGAUCGGCCACAUUGGGACUGAGACACGGCCCAAACUCCUACGGGAGGCAGCAGUAGGGAAUCUUCGGCAAUGGACGAAAGUCUGACCGAGCAACGCCGCGUGAGUGAAGAAGGUUUUCGGAUCGUAAAACUCUGUUGGUAGGGAAGAACGUUGGUGAGGAAACUCAUCAAGUGACGGUAACUACCCAGAAAGGGACGGCUAACUACGUGCCAGCAGCCGCGGUAAUACGUAGGUCCCGAGCGUUGUCCGGAUUUAUUGGGCGUAAAGCGAGCGCAGUGGUUUAUUAAGUCUGGUGUAAAAGGCAGUGGCUCAACCAUUGUAUGCAUUGGAAACUGGUAGACUUGAGUGCAGGAGAGGAGAGUGGAAUUCCAUGUGUAGCGGUGAAAUGCGUAGAUAUAUGGAGGAACACUGGUGGCGAAAGCGGCUUC